AUUGAACGCUGGCGGCAGGACUAACACAUGCAAGUCGAGCGAGCGGCGGACGGUUGAGUAAUGUCUGGGAAACUGCCUGAUGGAGGGGGAUAACUACUGGAAACGGUAGCUAAUACCGCAUACCAUCAGAUGUGCCCAGAUGGGAUUAGCUAGUAGGUGGGGUAAUGGCUCCCCUAGGCGACGAUCCCUAGCUGGUCUGGGAGGAUGACCAGCCACACUGGAACUGGGACACGGUCCAGACUCCUACGGUAGGCAGCAGUGGGGAGUAUUGAACAAUGGGCGAAAGCCUGAUUCAGCCAUGCCGCGUGUGUGAAGAAGGCCUUCGGGUUGUAAAGCACUUUCAGCGGGGAGGCGUUACCCGCAGAAGAAGCACCGGCUAACUCCGUGCCAGCAGCCGCGGUAAUAC
rnacentral:rRNA from 1 species